ACAGAUUUGUAUUGUCUUUAUUUUUUUUAAAUUGUUUUGGAUAUAAGAAUAAAUAUAUUUUUUUUAAUUAGUUUAUAUUUCUUGUGUAUUUGGGUCAUAAAAACAAGAAUGUAUGUAUUAAUGUUAAUUAUUGAGUUAUAUUAUAUCAAAGUCAAAGACUAAUCUUUUUAUUUGUUUGUUUGUUUGUCGGUUUUCUUUGUUUGUUCGUUUUUAAAAAUGAGUCUACAUGAGUAACAUAGCAGUUAUGUUAAGGUUCAUAACAAUUAUGAAACCUAUUGGUUGGUGUUAUGACCUUCAGUCAUUUGUUUUAUUUCUGUGCUGCCCUCUUGUGUCUUCUCUUUGUACUUGACAUUUGUUUUCAAGAAGGCGGUUCCUGGAGUUAAUAUGAUGACGGCUCAGAUUUUUUUCCCAUUUUUUUUUUUUUUUUGGAGUCCUUUUUCGUGCCAUCGUGACUACUUUGUUUGCGUUGAGCUUUCACAUCAGCUUGCUCAUUCGUAUAGUAUAUCCUCUAAGUGUUAAUCCAUUUCGUUUAUUGCUGAUUGUCAUAUCAGAGAGAAUGAUUUGUGAUACUUUUCUCAAAAAAUUCCACAAGAAGUAGGCGUAGUCGACAAGUUUCCACAGGAUUGGAUAUGGGAACACCCGAGGAGGCCAACUGCAGGCGCCUUGGAGACUGUUAAGUUCACCUCGAUCGCAUGAUUGGCUCCGAGCCUGAGAGGACGCGGGAAUUCGCCAUGAGCCACUUCAAUGCCGGAAUCAUGAGCAAUUGGAGGCAUCAAAGGGCCUGAGGACCUGACUGAGAGGCUGGUGAAGUGGGAGAGAUGGGACGCAUGAAGGAAUGGGUAGAUGCUGAAGAGGCAGGAGAUUGAGCUCAGGGCAGCAAGGGCCAACAUGAAGGCAACCAUCAGUUUGGGUAAACUGCUCAUUUGUAUCACACAGGGAAGUCUUGGCCUAAUGGUUAGAGAGUUUGCAAAAUCUGUUAAAUCAGUAAAUGUGUGCACAUCCCACCUUCCGGCAGGUGCAGGACAAAAGAAACUGUUAAAGUAAAAAAUUUUGGUAAUGUCCGCAACACUUUUAACCUCCCAUCUUUAUUAAUUGAUUAAAAAAAAGAGAGUUUGCAUCCUAACCCUAAGGUUGUGGUCGAGUCUUAUGCCGGCCACGACUGAGGUGCCCUUGAGCAAGCCACCGAACCCCCCAACUGAUCCCUGGGUGUUGCAGCAUAUGACUGCCCACUGCUCUGGGUGUGUGUUCAUGGUGUGUGUGUGUGUGUGUGUGUGUGUGUGUGUGUGUGUGUGUGUGUGUGUGUGUGUGUGUGUGUGUGUGUG